CGUUGAAACAUUGGUUCCCGUACGAUCACCAGUUAAGCAACGUCGAGCCUUAUCAGUACUUAGGUAGGUGACUUCUUGGGAAUACCAAGUGCUGUAA